rnacentral:rRNA from 1 species
AACGAACGCUGGCGGCAUGCUUGACACAUGCAAGUCGAACGAGACCUUCGGGUCUAGUGGCGCACGGGUGCGUAACGCGUGGGAAUCUGCCCUUUGCUACGGAAUAACUCAGAGAAAUUUGUGCUAAUACCGUAUGAUGUCGAAAGACCAAAGAUUUAUCGGCAAAGGAUGAGCCCGCGUAGGAUUAGCUUGUUGGUGUGGUAAAAGCUCACCAAGGCGACGAUCCUUAGCUGGUCUGAGAGGAUGGUCAGCCACACUGGGACUGAGACACGGCCCAGACCCCUACGGGAGGCAGCAGUGGGGAAUAUUGGACAAUGGGCGAAAGCCUGAUCCAGCAAUGCCGCGUGAGUGAUGAAGGCCUUAGGGUUGUAAAGCUCUUUUACCAGGGAUGAUAAUGACAGUACCUGGAGAAUAAGCUCCGGCUAACUCCGUGCCAGCCGCCGCAGUAAUAC